GAUGAACAAAGGCAACUCCGCCGAAAGGCGGAAGACGCAAAGCCACCGGUCUAACCCGCUUUUACAGCGGUAUGAUAGCGGGGACGCUCAU
rnacentral:ncRNA from 1 species